GAUGAACGCUGGCGGCGUGCUUAACACAUGCAAGUCGAACGGUGAAGGCGGAGCUUGCUCUGCUGGAUCAGUGGCGAACGGGUGAGUAACACGUGAGCAAUCUGCCCCUGACUCUGGGAUAAGCGCUGGAAACGGCGUCUAAUACUGGAUACGAGCUGCGAAGGCAUCUUCAGCAGCUGGAAAGAACUUCGGUCAGGGAUGAGCUCGCGGCCUAUCAGCUUGUUGGUGAGGUAACGGCUCACCAAGGCGUCGACGGGUAGCCGGCCUGAGAGGGUGACCGGCCACACUGGGACUGAGACACGGCCCAGACUCCUACGGGAGGCAGCAGUGGGGAAUAUUGCACAAUGGGCGAAAGCCUGAUGCAGCAACGCCGCGUGAGGGACAACGGCCUUCGGGUUGUAAACCUCUUUUAGCAGGGAAGAAGCGAAAGUGACGGUACCUGCAGAAAAAGCGCCGGCUAACUACGUG
rnacentral:rRNA from 1 species